rnacentral:rRNA from 1 species
CCCUUAGAUUGUCUGGGCGGCACGCGCGCUACAAUGAUGCAUUCAAAAAGUCUUCUGACCUUAGAAGGUUGGGUAUUCUCCAAAGUGCAUCGUGAUGGGAAUAGUUUAUUGCAAUUUUUAAUCUUGAACGAGGAAUUCCUAGUAAGUACAGGUCAUCAACUUGUGUUGAUUACGUCCCUGCCCUUUGUACACACCGCCCGUCGCUCCUACUGAUUGAGUGUCUCGGUGAAUUCGUUGAUCUUCUGUCGAUUCAGUUCACUGAUCCGACGGUGGAAAGUUGAAUGAACUUCGUCACUUAGUGGAAGGAGAAGUCGUAACA